GAGCACGUGUGUGUUGAUGAAUCCAUUAUGUUGAUUUUUCCGUAGACAGUGAUGACCUUUGAGAGUAAGGGUGAGAAAAGAUCAGGGGGCAGUUAAAUAUAAGAUAAAGAAUGAGGUUCAAGUCAAACUUUGUGAAGCUAGAAAAGGGGGAAAAAGGGUAAUGUAAUCACAAAGCUGACUUCUAUUUAUCUCCAAUCAUUUUGGGUCCUGGCUUGUUGCUAUUUACAAAGAAUAUUCCUCACUUUUCAAGUAAGAGUAAGGCUUUCCUUCAUAUCAACUAUCUCUUUGUUCUUGUAUUGGUAUCACUCUCACUAUUAUGGCUUUAGAUUUUGUUCAUUAACGACUUCAUUGUAUUUUGGGUUGCUUUAAUUGCUAUACUGCUAUAAGGGCGGAGGUGGAUGAAAGAGUAAAUAGAUUAUCAUUUAAGAUUCGAUUGGACAAUGGUGAGAAAGGGCUAGGUAUUAUCAUACAUCAGCGAGCAGUUGAAUGUACAAUUAAGAAUGAGAUUGAAGUCAAACUUUGUGAAAUAUAAAUGUUUUUGAAAAUUAUAGGUAACGUAAAGCACAAAGUUGACUCAUAAUUCUCUCCAAUCAUUUGGAUCCUGGCUUGUUGCUAGUCACACCACGUGGCAAUCAUUUACAAAAAAUAUUCCUCAACCUCCAAGUAAUCAUUAUCAUUCCUUCAUAACGUCUAACUCACUUUCCAAGUAAGCAUAAGGCUUUCCUUCAUAUCAACUAUCUCUUUGUUCUUGUAUUGGUAUCACUCUCACUAUUGUGGCUUCAGAUUUUGUUCAUUAACGACUUCAUUGUAUUUUGGGUUGCUUUAAUUGCUGUACUGCUAUAAGGGCGGAGGUGGAUAAAAGAGUAAAUAGAUUUUCAUUUAAGAUUCGAUUGGACAAUGGUGAGAAAGGGCUAGGUAUUAUCAUCAGCGAGCAGUUGAAUGUACAAUUAAGAAUGAGAUUGAAGUCAAACUUUGUGAAGUAUAAAUGUUUUUGAAAAAUAUAGAUAACGUAAAGCACAAAGUUGACUCAUAAUUCUCUCCAAUCAUUUGGAUGAUGGCUUGUUGCUAGUCACACCACGUGGCAAUCAUUUACAAAAAAUAUUCCUCAACCUUCAAGUAAUCAUUGUCAUUCCUUCAUAUCGUCUAACUCACUUUCCAAGUAAGCAUAAGGCUUUCCUUCAUAUCAACUAUCUCAUUGUUCUUGUAUUGGUAUCACUCUCACUAUUAUGGCUUCAGAUUUGGUUCAUUAACGACUUCAUUGUAUUUUGGGUUGCUUUAAUUGCUAUACCGCUAUAAGGGCGGAGGUGCAUAAAAGAGUAUGAUGUAGGGAGAUUACUGAAUUAGUAAAUAACAAGAAGGGAAGGGGAGGAGAAGAGAAGAAGAAGGCAGAGGCGGGGAGAGAGGAG
rnacentral:lncRNA from 1 species